rnacentral:rRNA from 1 species
GAUGAACGCUGGCGGCGGGCCUAAUACAUGCAAGUCGAGCGAAGCGGGGACGGGUGAGUAACACGUGGGUAACCUCCUAUAAGAGGGGGAAACCUUCGGGAAACCUGGGCUAAACCGGAAACUUAUAGAUGGAUCCUCGCUGCAUUAGCUGGGUGGUACGGUAACGGCUCACCUAGGCAACGAUCCCUAGCCGACCGGAGAGGGUGAUCCGCCAAACUGGAACUGAGACACGGUCCAGACUCCUACGGGAGGCAGCAGUAGGGAAUCUUCCGCAAUGGGCGAAAGCCUGACGGAGCAACGCCGCGUGAGUGAAGAAGGUCUUCGGGGCGUAAAACUCUGUUAUUAGGGAAGCGGUACCUAAUCAGAAAGCCACGGCUAACUACGUGCCAGCAGCCGCGGUAAUAC